rnacentral:rRNA from 1 species
UACGGAGGGUGCAAGCGUUGCUCGGAAUUAUUGGGCGUAAAGGAUAGGUAGGUGGUCUCAUUUGUCUGGGGUGAAAGCCUUGGGCUUAACUCAAGAAGUGCCCCAGAAACGGUGAGACUAGAGUCCUGGAGAGGGUCGUGGAAUUCCCGGUGUAGCGGUGAAAUGCGUAGAGAUCGGGAGGAACACCAGAGGCGAAGGCGGCGACCUGGACAGGUACUGACACUCAACUACGGAAGCGUGGGGAGCAAACAGG